AUUGAACGCUGGCGGCAGGCCUAACACAUGCAAGUCGCACGAGUGGCGGACGGGUGAGUAAUGUCUGGGAAACUGCCUGAUGGAGGGGGAUAACUACUGGAAACGGUAGCUAAUACCGCAUACCAUCAGAUGUGCCAAGCUGGGAUUCGCUAGUUGGUGGGGUAACUGCUCACCAAGGCGACGAUCCCUAGCUGGUCUGCGAGGAUGACCAGCCACACUAUAAAUGAGACACGGUCCAGAUUCCUACUGGAGGCAGCAGUGGGGAAUAUUGCACAAUGGGCGCAAGCCUUAUGCAGCCAUGCCGCGUGUAGGAAGAAGGCCUGCGGGUUGUAAAGUACUUUCAGCGAGGAGGCGUUACCCGCAGAAGAAGCACCGGCUAACUCCGUGCCAGCAGCCGCGGUAAUUC
rnacentral:rRNA from 1 species